rnacentral:rRNA from 1 species
AUGGCGUGCGUCUUGACGAGCCACACACGCAGCAGCAUGACCCCCCUUACAUCAGCGGUGUUAUUGCAAAAAGCAGCAGCAACAAUAGACACGCUCGUCACAGUAGCAGAGACAAACACUGGUGGUGCUGCAAAGCAUCAUCGGCGGCAGCGACCAACAACUUGCAGUCGUAGAGCGAGUGUUGCAUUGGAGCGCCAGAAUCUGCCGAGGAGAGCUGCAUCGCAGCGCAGGCAGCUUGCAGCCAUCUAG